CCUACGGGCGGCAGCAGUGGGGGAUAUUGGACAAUGGGGGGAACCCUGAUCCAGCGACGCCGCGUGAGUGAAGAAGUAUUUCGGUAUGUAAAGCUCUUUCAGCAGGGAAGAAAGAAAUGACGGUACCUGACCAAGAAGCCCCGGCUAACUACGUGCCAGCAGCCGCGGUAAUACGUAGGCGGCAAGCGUUAUCCGGAAUUACUGGGUGUAAAGGGAGCGUAGACGGUUAAGUAAGUCUGGAGUGAAAUGCCGUGGCUCAACCCCGGGACUGCCCUGGAAACUAUUUUACUUGAGUGCAGGAGCGGUAGGCGGAAUUCAUGGUGUAGCGGUGAAAUGCGUAGAUAUUAGGAGGAACACCAGUGGCGAAGGCGGCUUACUGGGCUGUAACUGACGUUGAGGCUCGAAAGCGUGGGGAGCAAACAGGAUUAGAUACCCCUGUAGUC
rnacentral:rRNA from 1 species